GGGUGUGUAGCUCAGUGGGAGAGCACUACGUUGACAUCGUAGGGGUUGCAGGUUCAAUUCCUGUCAUGCCCACCA
rnacentral:tRNA from 1 species